rnacentral:lncRNA from 10 species
CCCCUCCCAGAACUACUGUUCUGUGGCUGCCAAUAUGAAUGCCUAGAAUAAGUUAAGAGGAAGAUCAGUACAGGUGGAAUAGCAGGAGAUAUUUUAGUAACAGUUUAAUUAUUAAUUUUUGAUAAAAGGUUCUGAUUGGUCAUUUCUCCUACGAAAGUCAUAAUUACAAGGACUUAUACUUUUCCAAAAGUACCUUUUUAAAAGGUAGAGACAGUCCAGGCUGUUCUUGAACUCCUGACCUCGUGAUCCACCCCCCUCGGCCUCCCAAAGUGUUGGGAAAUACAGGCGUGAGCCACCGCGCCCGGCGAGACCCUGUCUUAAA